rnacentral:rRNA from 1 species
GGGCCCGCACAAGCGGUGGAGCAUGUGGUUUAAUUCGAUGCAUACGCGAGGAACCUUACCAGGGCUUAAAUGUAGUCUGACAGCUUUAGAGAUAGAGUUUUCUUCGGACAGAUUACAAGGUGCUGCAUGGUUGUCGUCAGCUCGUGCCGUGAGGUGUCAGGUUAAGUCCUAUAACGAGCGCAACCCCUGUCGUUAGUUGCCAGCAUGUCAUGAUGGGGACUCUAACGAGACUGCCGGUGCAAAACCGUGAGGAAGGUGGGGAUGACGUCAAAUCAUCACGGCCCUUACGUCCUGGCUACACACGUGCUACAAUGGUCGGUACAGAGGGAAGCUACCCCGCAAGGGGAUGCGGA